GCUGGCAACCCGGCGCCAAGACGUGCGCGCAAGGGCGGGCGCCCGCGGGCGAGCAGCGUGACGCAGCGACGGCCCGCCCGGGCUUCCGGGGCAUCACCCGGUCGGCGCGGUCGCGGCGCGCCGAGGGCCCGACGCCUGGCGGAGAAUCAGGGUUCGACUCCGGAGAGCGGGCCUGCGAGACGGCCCGCACAUCCAAGGACGGCAGCAGGCGCGGAACUUGCCCAAUGCGCGGCGCGCGAGGCAGCGACGGGGAGCGCGCGAGCGAGGCGGGCCCACAGCCCCCGCCGCGGAGCCGAGGGCAAGGUCUGGUGCCAGCAGCCGCGGUAAUUCCAGCUCGGCGAGCGUCGCGCGGCGCUGCUGCAGUUGAAACGCCCGUAGUUGGCCCCCCGCCGCCACGAGGAAACGGGAGCGCUCCAGGCAGGCCCGUUGGACCCGCCGCGUGGGACCGCGCAGCGGGCGCGGCGCGCCGCGGCAGCCCCGAGGAGAG
rnacentral:rRNA from 1 species